AUUGAACGCUGGCGGCAGGCCUAACACAUGCAAGUCGAACGGUAACAGGAAGCAGCUUGCUGCUUCGCUGACGAGUGGCGGACGGGUGAGUAAUGUCUGGGAAGCUGCCUGAUGGAGGGGGAUAACUACUGGAAACGGUAGCUAAUACCGCAUAAUGUCGCAAGACCAAAGAGGGGGACCUUCGGGCCUCUUGCCAUCGGAUGUGCCCAGAUGGGAUUAGCUUGUUGGUGGGGUAACGGCUCACCAAGGCGACGAUCCCUAGCUGGUCUGAGAGGAUGACCAGCCGCACUGGAACUGAGACACGGUCCAGACUCCUACGGGAGGCAGCAGUGGGGAAUAUUGCACAAUGGGCGCAAGCCUGAUGCAGCCAUGCCGCGUGUAUGAAGAAGGCCUUCGGGUUGUAAAGUACUUUCAGCGGGGAGGAAGGGAGUAAAGUUAAUACCUUUGCUCAUUGACGUUACCCGCAGAAGAAGCACCGGCUAACUCCGUG
rnacentral:rRNA from 1 species